rnacentral:rRNA from 1 species
UACGUAGGCAGCAAGCGUUGUUCGGAGUUACUGGGCGUAAAGGGUGUGUAGGCGGUCCUCUAAGUUUGGUGUGAAAUCUCCCGGCUCAACUGGGAGGGGUCAUUCGAUACUGGCGGGCUCGAGGCCGGUAGGGGGAAGUGGAAUUCCCGGUGUAGUGGUGGAAUGCGUAGAUAUCGGGAGGAACACCAGUGGCGAAGGCGGCUUCCUGGACCGGUUCUGACACUGAGGAGCGAAAGCGUGGGGAGCGAUCCGG